rnacentral:rRNA from 1 species
AUUGAACGCUGGCGGCAGGCUUAACACAUGCAAGUCGAGCGGGGUGAUGGUGCUUGCACUAUCACUUAGCGGCGGACGGGUGAGUAAUGCUCAGGAAUCUGCCUAUUAGUGGGGGACAACAUCUCGAAAGGGAUGCUAAUACCGCAUACGUCCUACGGGAGAAAGCAGGGGAUCACUUGUGACCUUGCGCUAAUAGAUGAGCCUAAGUCGGAUUAGCCAGUUGGUGGGGUAAAGGCCUACCAAGGCGACGAUCUGUAGCGGGUCUGAGAGGAUGAUCCGCCACACUGGGACUGAGACACGGCCCAGACUCCUACGGGAGGCAGCAGUGGGGAAUAUUGGACAAUGGGGGGAACCCUGAUCCAGCCAUGCCGCGUGUGUGAAGAAGGCCUUAUGGUUGUAAAGCACUUUAAGCGAGGAGGAGGCUCUUUUGGUUAAUACCCAAGAUGAGUGGACGUUACUCGCAGAAUAAGCACCGGCUAACUCUGUGCCAGUCGCCGCAGUAA